rnacentral:rRNA from 1 species
AGAAUCAACGCUGGCGGCGUGCCUAACACAUGCAAGUCGAGCGCGAAAGGGGGGGUAACUCCCCAAGUAGAGCGGCGAACGGGUGAGUAACGCGUGGGUAAUCUACCUUCGAGUGGGGAAUAACCCCGGGAAACUGGGGCUAAUACCGCAUGACAUCUUCGGGCCUUCGGGUCUGAUGAUCAAAGCCGGGGACCGCAAGGCCUGGCGCUUGAAGACGAGCCCGCGUCCGAUUAGCUAGUUGGCGGGGUAAUGGCCCUACCAAGGCUUCGAUCGGUAGCCGGCCUGAGAGGGCGGACGGGCCACACUGGGACUGAGACACGGCCCAGACUCCUACGGGAGGCAGCAGUGGGAAUUUUCGCAAUGGGGGAAACCCUGACGAAGCAACGCCGACGUGGAGGAUGAAGGCCUUCGGUCGUAAACUCCUGUCGACUGGACGAAAGCAGUCCGACCCAAUACGUCGGCUGUCGACUGUACCGGUGGAGGAAGCCACGGCUAACUCUGUGCCAGCAGCCG